rnacentral:lncRNA from 1 species
AGACCCCCAGUACUCUAGCAUCGGGGAAUCGUCCCCAGGAAGCCUUGUGAGAAGCCAAAAGGGAGCUCGAGGCGGGAGGGAGGAGCUGAGAGGUCCCAUAAUUAAGCGUCGGGCUUAGGACGGGUCGAUAUGUCACAAGGAAUGCACCCGAAGGCUCUUCCUAUAGGCUUCGUUUGCUGACCAAUCACUGCAUUCUCAAUGGCAACUUGUUGCUUGGAUUCUCAUCAGAAGCAAAUAAUUGUCUUUGAGGGGGAAUGGGAACCAAGCUCUUCCCCACCCACUCCAAAGCUACUACCAGAGUUCUACAAAUAGACAUCUGCUCAUUUCAAGAACACUACCCAUCUGGUCUUCACGGAGUCCACGAGUGGCUCCUGUAUAGUCCAGCAUGUCCCGUUGGGUUUAACUCAGGAGGAUGACAGAGGCUAGCCGUAUGCAUCAAUAUUGUUUCGCCGAGUUCUCUACAAAACUAACUGAUGCUCCCCCUCUAGGCUUUCAAGAUAACUCAACAGUUUCCCAAAGUUUUGAGAUUGUAAAAACCUUGUUUUUGUUGAUUCCGUGUUUCAUGCCCUGAAAUCUCAGCCCUUAGUAAGAUGCUGGGAUAGAACCCA